AACGAACGCUGGCGGCAUGCCUAACACAUGCAAGUCGAACGAGACCUUCGGGUCUAGUGGCGCACGGGUGCGUAACACGUGGGAAUCUGCCCUUUGCUUCGGAAUAACAGUUAGAAAUGACUGCUAAUACCGGAUGAUGUCGAAAGACAAAAGAUUUAUCGGCAAAGGAUGAGCCCGCGUAGGAUUAGGUAGUUGGUGGGGUAAAGGCCUACCAAGCCGACGAUCCUUAGCUGGUCUGAGAGGAUGAUCAGCCACACUGGGACUGAGACACGGCCCAGACUCCUACGGGAGGCAGCAGUGGGGAAUAUUGGACAAUGGGCGAAAGCCUGAUCCAGCAAUGCCGCGUGAGUGAUGAAGGCCUUAGGGUUGUAAAGCUCUUUUACCAGGGAUGAUAAUGACAGUACCUGGAGAAUAAGCUCCGGCUAACUCCGU
rnacentral:rRNA from 1 species